UACGGGAGGCAGCAGUAGGGAAUUCUUCCGCAAUGGACGAAANUCUGACGGAGCANCGCCCGCGUGAGUGAUGAAGGUUUUCGGAUCGUAAAACUCUGUUGUUAGGGAAGAACAAGUACCGGAGUAACUGCCGGUACCUUGACGGUACCUAACCAGAAAGCCACGGCUAACUACGUGCCAGCAGCCGCGGUAAUACGUAGGUGGCAAGCGUUGUCCGGAAUUAUUGGGCGUAAAGCGCGCGCAGGCGGUUCCUUAAGUCUGAUGUGAAAGCCCACGGCUCAACCGUGGAGGGUCAUUGGAAACUGGGGAACUUGAGUGCAGAAGAGAAGAGUGGAAUUCCACGUGUAGCGGUGAAAUGCGUAGAGAUGUGGAGGAACACCAGUGGCGAAGGCGGCUCUCUGGUCUGUAACUGACGCUGAGGCGCGAAAGCGUGGGGAGCGAACAGGAUUAGAUACCCUGGUAGUCCACGCCGUAAACGAUGAGUGCUAAGUGUUAGAGGGUUUCCGCCCUUUAGUGCUGAAGUUAACGCAUUAAGCACUCCGCCUGGGGAGUACGGCCGCAAGGCUGAAACUCAAAUGAAUUGACGGGG
rnacentral:rRNA from 1 species